rnacentral:tRNA from 1 species
GGUCGGUUAGCUCAGAAGCAGAGCGCUGCUUUUACACAGCAGAGGCCGCAGUUGCAAAAUCUGCACCGACCA